rnacentral:lncRNA from 1 species
UUUAAGGAAAAUCCAGUCUUCGCCACUGAAUAUAUUGCUUGAUGAUCUGUGAUAUUAGGAUCUUAGUUGUGGAGAUUUGGAAGAAUUGUUGAAUUUCCAUCUCAAUGGCACCCAACGAUCGAGAAGAGUCCAUACUAGAGCAACUAGAGCUGGAAAAUUGAAGAGAUUGAGCCAAGAAACCAAAGCACAAGAAAAGGAGAAAUUCUCUCAUCACCCUGCAUAUUCUAAUUAAUACUACUACUAAUUAGAUACUAUGUCUCCUUACCAUCAUGAUACUUUUAACUCAACAUCAAAUUCUAAAAGUAUUUAUUAAAAGAAUACUUAACAAUUGUAUGUCAAAAAUGUCAAACUAAGGCAUUGAGGACUUGUGUAGAGCCAGAUUUCGCCAUUUAUUAGCUAGCUAAAUAGAAACAACAAUCAUCAUUUUUAGUAAUUUAUAUUUUUUUUAACUUUCAU